GGGUGAGUAAUACAUCGGAACAUGUCCUGUAGUGGGGGAUAGCCCGGCGAAAGCCGGAUUAAUACCGCAUACGAUCUACGGAUGAAAGCGGGGGACCUUCGGGCCUCGCGCUAUAGGGUUGGCCGAUGGCUGAUUAGCUAGUUGGUGGGGUAAAGGCCUACCAAGGCGACGAUCAGUAGCUGGUCUGAGAGGACGACCAGCCACACUGGGACUGAGACACGGCCCAGACUCCUACGGGAGGCAGCAGUGGGGAAUUUUGGACAAUGGGCGAAAGCCUGAUCCAGCAAUGCCGCGUGUGUGAAGAAGGCCUUCGGGUUGUAAAGCACUUUUGUCCGGAAAGAAAUCCUUGGCUCUAAUACAGUCGGGGGAUGACGGUACCGGAAGAAUAAGCACCGGCUAACUACGUGCCAGCAGCCGCGGUAAUACGUAGGGUGCGAGCGUUAAUCGGAAUUACUGGGCGUAAAGCGUGCGCAGGCGGUUUGCUAAGACCGAUGUGAAAUCCCCGGGCUCAACCUGGGAACUGCAUUGGUGACUGGCAGGCUAGAGUAUGGCAGAGGGGGGUAGAAUUCCACGUGUAGCAGUGAAAUGCGUAGAGAUGUGGAGGAAUACCGAUGGCGAA
rnacentral:rRNA from 1 species